CUACGGGGGGCAGCAGUUAGGAAUAAUCUACAAUGCGCGCAAGCGUGAUAGUUUGAGCCAGAGUGCUUCUCAAUCGAGAAGCUUUUGCCAAAUUUAAAAAGUUUGGCGAAUAAGGACUGGGUAAGACGAGUGCCAGCCGCCGCGGUAAUACUCGCGGUCCAAGUCGCAGCCAUUUUUAUUGGGUCUAAAACAUCCGUAGCUUGCUUGAUAAGUUUCUUGUGAAAUUCUAUGUCUCAAACAUGGAGCGUGCAAGAAGUACUGUCAAGCUCGAGACUGGUAGACGUAAGAAGUACGUUCAGAGUAGCGGUAAAAUGUGUUAAUCCUGGACGGACUCACAACAGCGAAGGCAUCUUACGAGGACAGUUCUGACAGUAAGGGAUGAAGGCUAGGGGCGCAAAACGGAUUAGAUACCCUCGUAGUC
rnacentral:rRNA from 1 species